CUACUUACCUGGCGCCGAGUUCAGGGUGAUCAAGAAUGCUCCAACCCCGAGUGGAGGCUCACCAUUGCACCUCGGUGCCCUGAAACUCGCAACGGUCCUUAAUCGGAUGCGCUCGGGUGUGUAGUUUUUGUCAGUGGGGAGGCCUCAUGGUCCUCCCUU
rnacentral:snRNA from 1 species